UACGUAGGGGGCUAGCGUUGUCCGGAAUCAUUGGGCGUAAAGCGCGCGUAGGCGGCCCGGUAAGUCCGCUCUGAAAGUCCAGGGCUCAACCCUGGAAAGCGGGUGGAUACUGCCGGGCUAGAAUCCGGAAGAGGCGAGUGGAAUUCCUGGUGUAGCGGUGGAAUGCGCAGAUAUCAGGAGGAACACCAAUAGCGAAGGCAGCUCGCUGGGACGGUAUUGACGCCAAGGCGCGAAAGCGUGGGGAGCGAACAGG
rnacentral:rRNA from 1 species